rnacentral:rRNA from 1 species
CCUACGGGCGGCAGCAGUGGGGAAUAUUGGACAAUGGGGGCGACCCUGAUCCAGCCAUGCCGCGGGUGUGAAGAAGGCCCUCGGGUUGUAAAGAACUUUCAGUGAGGAAGAACGCCUGGUGGUUAAUACCCAUCAGGAAAGACAUCACUCACAGAAGAAGCACCGGCUAACUCCGUGCCAGCAGCCGCGGUAAUACGGAGGGUGCGAGCGUUAAUCGGAAUUACUGGGCGUAAAGCGCGCGUAGGUGGCUUGAUAAGCCGGUUGUGAAAGCCCCGGGCUCAACCUGGGAACGGCAUCCGGAACUGUCAAGCUAGAGUGCAGGAGAGGAAGGUAGAAUUCCCGGUGUAGCGGUGAAAUGCGUAGAGAUCGGGAGGAAUACCAGUGGCGAAGGCGGCCUUCUGGACUGACACUGACACUGAGGUGCGAAAGCGUGGGUAGCAAACAGGAUUAGAUACCCCUGUAGUC